AAAAGUUCGUUCGGCUUUUU
rnacentral:miRNA from 1 species